ensembl:lncRNA
AACGUAUCCACACUUCUGUCCCUCAACAUUGCUGGCGCCACAUGUGAGAGGCUGAUAAAGUACGUGAGGAAAGAGAACAGCUUCAUGUUACGGUAAGUCAUAUAGCGAAGCGUGCGAAUAAAAAGCUUGCACAGCUAGUCUGAAUGGUUCCAUUUCCUUGCAGUCACCUAAGACUGUUGCUAAGAGGCAUAGCUGAAAUAUCUUGCAGUGCUUGCACCACUCAUAAACACAGGAAGACAUAAGGUAAGACCAACUGAAAUGCCUCUUCUUCCUGUACUUAUUUACAGGCUGAGAGAUGGGGCAGAGUAUUUCUUUGCAGCGCCUUCUCAGAUGGUGAUGGAGGACUGGCUGCAAUCACUACAGAGUAAUAUAGGACACAGUAACAGAGCAGACUCCAGGGCAAAGGUGCAGCCUUUCGUUCCAAACACAGAGACCUCUCAGACAAGAUCGUGGGACUUUCCAAACAGAGACUCUGCUGAAAGACUAACCAGCAAAAGCUCACUCCUGAGGAGAACACCUUCCUUCAAAAUCAAACCGGAGAAAGAGCCUGCAGAAUUUUCCAGAGAUUUUAAGGAAGACGGGACUGCAGUAACACGAGCCUCCAUCACCACUCUGAGACCAGAACAAAGUGGUAAUAAAAAAAAUCUGCCUCUAUCUCUGCUAGAAGUAGGAAGAGAAAAGUGACAUUUGCCCCAAUGAACACCAGACCCUUCAUCACUGCAUCUUAACCCAGCCCUCUGGAAAUGUAUUGGUACAUUUUAACUUAAUUACUUCCCUUAGGACUUAUUUUAAUUACCUAUUAAACCUAGUAAAGCCUUUAAGUAUAACUAAACAUGGCUGCCUCUGGUAUACUUUUGUGAUACAAUGCCUCCAUCGUUCAUCAUAUCACCUAGGAUAUACCAACACCAAGAUAUGAAAUGAAAUGAAAGAGCAAAGGGACCUCUGAGCCAGAUAGCUCAAGUGAAGUGACUCUAUGGGAUGGAAGUGGAGAGCACUGAGCAGAGAGCAAAGUGCAAACUGUGAGUGAACAGCAGCCACCUGCAGGUAGCUUUGCCAGUAUCAAUGGAUAAGAUUCAAAGGAAGAGGGUUGCUCAGUCUGUGCAUCACAGAAGUAGAGGUCUCUUAGGGUACAUUUGUUAUAUAAUUCCUGUAGUGUUUUGUGGCCUCCAGAAUCAUUCAUUUUUACAAUACAUUAGCCUGGUAUUUCAGAACUAUUUAGCAAUUCUUUCUGGAUCAAGUUACUAGGGAAAAAAAAAACUAUACAGUUACUUAUUGUUACUGGACUCUAAAAUUAUGCAUGAACAAUCAGCCUCUCAGUGUAAAAGAGGAGGAAAAACAGGAUUCCAAGGAGGAAGUCUACAAACCUGACCACACCUCUGGGGAAGCUUAAAAACUAUAUUGAUUUUACAUUAACAUGAACGUAUUAGGAAGCUGGAUUGGGUGGGAAGUAUAUGAGAUAGUCUUUAGGGGAUAUGCAGGAGAAGGAAAAAAUCGUGUCCUCUAGUAUGUUAUCUGUACUAAGUCUCAUCUUGUGCUCAUUAAGAGUGAAAAAAGCCAAUAGCGUAAACUUCUGCAACUAAAGAGUGUCAGGUGCACACAAAGUUACCAGAUUUUUCUUCCCACAGUGCAUGCCAAGAGUCCCAGCAUGAUGCAGCAGCAGCAGUUCCGUUAAAGGCAAGUGACCCCUAUCAAAACGAGUCAGUUCUCCAGCAGAACUAGUCAUUUCACCAUAAAAGGCAAUCAGAUAGUUCAAGCAUGAUUUCCCUUUAGUAAAUCCAUGAUGGAUGUUCCUGAUUACCAUCUUUCCUUCAUGCGCUUGGGAAGGAAGUCGAGAAGAAUUUGCUGCAUCUUUCCAGGGGCUGAGGUGAGGCUGAUUGGCCUCAUCCGUAGUUCACCAGGUCCUUUUUCUUGCCUUUCCUAAAAAAGCUGUAACAUUAGCCUUUAUCCAGUCAUUGGGGACCUCUCCCAGCCACCAUGAUUCUUUGUAGAUGAUAAGAGCAGUGGNNNNNNNNNNNNNNNNNNNNNNNNNNNNNNNNNNNNNNNNNNNNNAGACAGAACCCCUCUGACACACAUGUACACACAUAUACACCUAUGCACAUGCACACAGAUGUACGUUUGUCAGGAGAAGCUCGUCUUCCAAAUUCCCCAUCCCAAUAGCGAUGCUGUAUUACUAUUUCCUUUUCAGUGACUAAGACUGAGGAUGCGGGUGUGAAGACAAGGACUCAUACUAGUCCACUGACCACGAUGAAACAAGAUCUCGAGUCUUAUGGAAAGCAGGAGAAAUAAAAGAAAAAAAAUGUCUUGAAAAAGUUCUUUA